GAUCCUCCAUAGUGUGGGUGGGUCUCAUCCAAGCAGCUGAAGGCCUAAGAGAAGAAAGACAGAGGUCCCAAAGGCAGAGGGAGUUCUGCCAGCGAUGCCUUUGGACUGAAGCUGUGGCAUCAGCCCUGCCCUGGGUGUCCCGCCUGCCAGCCUGCCCUGCAGGCUUCAGACUCACCAGUUCCAUGGUUCCGUGAGCUAAUUCCUUACAAUCAGUCUCUCUGAGUAGUUCGUGGGAAAAUAGAAUUAAAAGAUAAUAUGAAUUCUGUGAA